rnacentral:rRNA from 1 species
UUGACCUCAAAUCAGGUAGGACUACCCGCUGAAUUAAGCAUAUCAAUAAGCGGAGGAAAAGAAACUAACAAGGAUUCCCCUAGUAACUGCGAGUGAAGCGGGAAAAGCUCAAAUUUAAAAUCUGGC